AUGGAGAUAGCUGCUAAAGUUGGCGUGAUAUUUGAGAAAAUUCUUAAGGAGAAGGUGAAACCCCGCGAUGAGCAGGAACACGACAUGCGCCUUGAACAGGCAAUUUCAAUGGUGCUUGAGAGGCACCCUGAUCUCAACUCACCCCUUGCCAUCGCCAGGAGGAAAGUGCAGAUCGACGCUCGCGUCAUUGCUCCGUUCACCCCUUGCCAUCGCCAGGAGGAAAGUGCAGAUCGACGCUCGCGUCAUUGCUCCGUAGAGAGGAGCACGUCAUCGAGUCGGAUUCACCAUGCGAGGCACCUCUCCCGGCCGAUAUUGCGCCUCCCCAAGAUGCAGCGGCUGGCGCUCUGCCUUUGCAAGGAGGCGAGGAGCACCGACAGGUCCAGCAACCACCGUGCCCUAGCCUGUCCUCCAGCGAUUGGCUAG
rnacentral:rRNA from 1 species